UGAGCAAUCUGCCCUUCUCUUUGGAAUAAGCGUUGGAAACGACGUCUAAUGCCGAAUACGACCUCCUUUCGCAUGAUCGGUGGUGGAAAGUUUUUCGGCUGGGGAUGGGCUCGCGGCCUAUCAGCUUGUUGGUGGGGUGAUGGCCCACCAAGGCGACGACGGGUAGCCGGCCUGAGAGGGUGACCGGCCACACUGGGACUGAGACACGGCCCAGACUCCUACGGGAGGCAG
rnacentral:rRNA from 1 species